rnacentral:tRNA from 1 species
GCCCACGUAGUCCAACGCAGAGACGGCGCACUUAAAACGCGCACAGUGUCGGUGCGAAUCCGACCGUGGGCACCA